rnacentral:rRNA from 1 species
AGUGAACGCUGGCGGCAGGCCUAACACAUGCAAGUCGAACGGCAGCACAGGAGAGCUUGCUCUCUGGGUGGCGAGUGGCGGACGGGUGAGGAAUGCGUCGGAAUCUGCCUAUUUGUGGGGAUAACUACUGGAAACGGUAGCUAAUACCGCAUAACGUCUACGGACCAAAGCGGGGGACUUUCGGGCCUCGCGCCAUCAGAUGUGCCCAGAUGGGAUUAGCUAGUAGGUGAGGUAAUGGCUCACCUAGGCGACGAUCCCUAGCUGGUCUGAGAGGAUGACCAGCCACACUGGAACUGAGACACGGUCCAGACUCCUACGGGAGGCAGCAGUGGGGAAUAUUGCACAAUGGGCGCAAGCCUGAUGCAGCCAUGCCGCGUGUGUGAAGAAGGCCUUAGGGUUGUAAAGCACUUUCAGCGGGGAGGAAGGCGGUGAGAUUAAUACUCUCACCGAUUGACGUUACCCGCAGAAGAAGCACCGGCUAACUCCGUGCCAGCCGCCGCCGUAAAAC